AUGGAGUCAGUGGGAAAUCCAGCUGGUGGUGCUCCUCAGCUUCACCCUGCAAAUCUUUCUCUUCUUCACCCUGCAAAUGCUCUGCUCAGGCUUCUUACCUGGCUAGCUUAUGUUGCGGCAGACAUGGUCGCCGUAUACGCCCUUGGCCUCAUAUCCCGAGAUGAUCAGAGCACCACGACAUCGCCUGGAUCAUGCCAUGGGAACAAGGGAUCAAACGGACUCUCCACGGGCACAAGCCGCCACCUAGCGUUCCUCUGGGCGCCUUUCCUCCUCAUCCAUCUCGGCGGGCAGGACACCAUUUCGGCCUUCUCCAUCGAGGACAACAACCUGUGGCUGAGGCACCUGCUGAACCUGACCAUCCAAGUCUCCUUGGCCUUGUACGCCUUUUGGAAGUCGAUAGGUGGACGUAACCAGCGGCUCCUUGCUCCAGCCGUCCUGGUGUUCGUCGCCGGGAUCAUCAGGUAUGGGGAGAGGACAUGGGCGCUCAAGUGCGGUAGCCGGAAUGGCCUCAAGGAAACAAGCCUGCCCCCAUUGCCUAAGCUGAAUGUUGAGGUCGACAAAAGCAGCUAUGUUGGCACCAUCUGCUACGUUCUAGGCUCAAUGGCUGCCAUCCGGGAUCUUUUCUCAGGGCGCACCACCUCCCAAAUGAAAGAGCGUCGAGCCUUCAGGUUCCAAGAAGACAGGCCCCUAGACCAAGUGCCCAAGCUGCUGGAGGUCGAGCUUGCCAUGAUGUACGAUGAUCUCUACACCAAGGCCAUGGUGCUUAGAACAAGGACAUGCGUCGUGCUCCGGUGCGUCAGCCAGGUCUCCUCUAUAGCUGCCUUUGUGCUCUUUCUAGUUGGAAACGACAGACAAGAAUACAGUGGAACCGACAUCGCGAUCACCUAUGCGUUAUUCAUCGGUGGAUUAAGUCUUGAUGUUUGUGCUUUUGUUCCGAUUGCGAUGUCGCCGUGGACUUGGGCCUUCUUCAAAGCUCGAAGGUGCGAAAGGCUUGCCCGCAUUUCUUGGCUCGUUCUCUCAAGUCGCGUCGGCUGGCCGGAGAAGAGACCGUUGUGGUCCAACUCUAUGGGGCAGUAUAACUUCUUGAGCUCAUGUAUGGGCUGUGAGCAAUCAGCAACAUCAUCCAAACUAAUGACUGUCAUGAGAAAGAUGUUAGACGCGGUUGAGAAGAAGCUCUUCGUCAGAAACCUACAGCACACCAAGCAUGCCAAGGUGAGCAAGGUCGCGUGGGUUGGACGCCUUUCCCGCGAAAACUUCACAAGGAUGACGCAGCAGCAACACUGGGCGAAUCUUCGCCCAAUCAUCAAGGCAACACUGAGCUCCGCAGCUAAUUCUUUCGGCGAUAACAUCAUCCUCUUGCAUACAUACACAGAACUGCACUUGCGGAAACGCCCCAGCAACAUGGAUGACGAAGCAUUAUCAGACAUGUGCAGGAAGUUGGCUAACUAUAUGGUGUACCUCCUGGUUGUGCAGCCUUCCAUGUUGCCACUAAGUGGCACCGCGGAGGACACGUUGGCCGGACUCUACGAGGAGAUGAGCAAGAACGGCAGCCGCGAGCGAGAUGUCCUAGACACCGCCUAUCAUCUGGUGGAAGACAAGCUGGAGUUCGGCUAUGAGGAAUGCCUGAAAGAACAGGAGCAACCCGGGCCGUGGCGCGAGACGCUGACGGAGAUCCAGGAUAUGUGGAUGAGGCUACUGCUCUACGCGGCCGGCAAGUGCCCCGUGGAGAUGCACGCCCAGCAGCUAGGCAGAGGAGGGGAGCUCCUCACCAUGGUCUGGUUGCUCAUGGCGCAUAAUGGCAUUGGAGACGUUGGUGAUCAGGUUGAGCUUAUCACUAAUGAUGAAACUAUGGAGGGCCCGUUCUGUGCAUUUCAUCUUCCUAAAGAAUCAGAACACAUGUCUGCAUAG
rnacentral:rRNA from 1 species